rnacentral:tRNA from 1 species
ACUUAAAUAGUUUAUACUAAAAUAUUAAUUUGUGGAAUUAAAGAUAUUAAAUUAAUUUUAAGUA